rnacentral:rRNA from 1 species
GGUGGGAACUCAUGAGAGACUGCCGCAGACAAUGCGGAGGAAGGCGGGGAUGACGUCAAAUCAUCAUGCCCCUUAUGACCUGGGCUACACACGUACUACAAUGGGAGUUAAUAGACGGAAGCGAAACCGCGAGGUGGAGCAAACCCGAGAAACACUCUCUCAGUUCGGAUCGUAGGCUGCAACUCGCCUACGUGAAGUCGGAAUCGCUAGUAAUCGCAGGUCAGCAUACUGCGGUGAAUACGUUCCCGGGCCUUGUACACACCGCCCGUCACACCACGAAAGUCGGAAGUGCCCAAAGCCGGUGGGGUAACCUUCGGGAGCCAGCCGUCUAAGGUAAAGUCGAUGAUUGGGGUGAAGUCGUAACAAGGUAGCCGUAUCGGAAGGUGCGGCUGGAUCACCUCCUUUCUAGGGAGA